rnacentral:rRNA from 1 species
UACGGGAGGUGCAAGCGUUGUUCGGAAUGACUGGGCGUAAAGCGCACGUAGGCGGCUUCGCAAGUCGGAUGUGAAAGCCCCGGGCUCAACCCGGGAAUAGCACCCGAAACUACGAAGCUUGAAUGCUUGAGAGGUUGGCGGAAUUCCAGGUGUAGGAGUGAAAUCCGUAGAUAUCUGGAGGAACAUCGGCGGCGAAGGCGGCCAACUGGCGAUGCAUUGACGCUAAGGUGCGAAAGCGUGGGGAGCAAACAGG